AGCUGGUAUCACAACUUCUUCCUACACCCUUGUGUUCCCUCUGCCUUCCAGUACAAUUGGAUUUUCUACUGCUGGUCAGAUACAGCCUGGAUCUCAAAACCCCACUUUGAUAAUGAUGGACCAUGACUGAGACAAGUCCUGCUCAAUCAAGCAGCUUCCAUUAGGCUCAAGUGUAAAGCAGAGCCCACUGAAUGCGUCAUCCCUAAAUGGUGGCCUUCCUUUUAAACACAGCUCACCAAAGUCUGCAGUCCACAAUAAUUAAUAGUGAGUAGUUGCCUAAAAAACCUUAUGGUUCUUGUGCAAGGACACAGAAAUACACUUGAAAUCUAUUUUCUCAUUGACACUAUUUCCAGAUUGGUUGAGAGGGUGCCUGAUGAAACAUAUGUUUUUUUUAGGCACGUGAACUAAAAGUGCAUAAACCCAGAAACCGAUCAGCUGUUAGUAGGGGCACUGACCACAGAGUUGUAGUGCUCCUCUGUGUUCCCAGGGGAUGGGAUUUAUAAGGUCACCUCUGCCCCCCAGAGAAGCACAGAAUGAAUCAAGGCAAACUCCACCCAUAACCUUUGCUCUUAGACUUGGCUGCUUUCAGGACUGUGUCCCAAGUUUAAUUGUUUCUUACCAGACAGCAUUCACCUUUUCUCAAACAUGUAGCUGGAGAAAUGAAUUUCCUGAAGAACUUAGCAAAUAACUUCAAAAGUGUAACUAAAACUACUGAUUUUUAAGAAGGUGGAGUUUCCAAGCAACUGGAAGCAAGCUGAAACUUCAUUUAGGAACCAAAAGCAAUAACCAUCCUUAUGCAUAGGAAGUUAAAUGUUGUUUGGUAACUCGAAACAGGUUAAGUCCUCUGAGAUUCACAUUUGCAAGGUACCCUCAGUCCAGAGGCUCAGCACCCCGGGAGACAUCAAUAAAAAGUAAAAUCAUGCAGGCACUGAAGAAGUUUGCUCAGCACAUUGUAACACAAGGGAAAAUUCAAUUAUAUAAAUUUGGGUAAACGGCAAACAAACAACGAAAAAGAAAAGGUCAUAAUGAAAUCAGACACUUUUGCAAAUAUGGAACAGUAAUUCCCUUAAGUAUGAUGUUCUAAAAGCAGUUACUUUGUGGUCCACGUUAAUGUCAUCUAAUACCUUUUUAAUUUUUAUUCUGCUUGCAUACUAUAGUAGUAAAGUAAAAAUUGUAGAAAAAUAGAAGUGUGUUUAAAACUGUGUGUGUGUUGAAGAAGGGGGUGGGGGAAUCAUAGAUUUUUCUCCUCAAAGUACUGUGCUUCACUUACCAGGAGCUAGAGAGAAUAUGCUUCUAUCUAUAGACUCUCUGUAGAAUCAAGAGGUUAAAUCACUAGAAGACCCCUUCCUUGAAGUGGUUGAGUUGCAAUCCUCCAGAGACUCCAGACAGAUGGUUUUUUGCUCAAACACAGACGUACGGAGUGCCAUGGUGUCAUUUUUGCAACCCUUGAUGUAAAGUGUCCUAGAUCAACAAGACAGUUAUGGGAGGAUUAAACAAACAACCAGACAAAAGCUCCCAAAAUGUGACAAGUCACAUGCUAAGCCAGGACAAACCAAUUAAGAGCUUUUGAAAGCAAUUUCAGGUUUUGGACUUUAAAAAUCGAUAAGAUGAGCCAGCAAGGGAAGCUUUAGAGUAGUUCAGCAUUAUCAUUUCCUGAUGACCAGGGAAAAAGGAGAGUCUGUUUAAAAAAAAAGGGAGGAGCACUCUGCAAAGGUCUACUUGGAAACAGAAGAAAAGAACAGAAGAAAGAACUUGGAACAGAAACUUACAUACUCAAAUUAUUGGCAAAGGCUUUCUACUCAGCAGUCUUUCAGAUGUUGCCGAUGUGUUUCCCAAGCUGCACAGAAAUUCUAAUCAGAUGGAAAGUCACAUCAAACCAAAAAGGGAGAAGAUCCUUGAAAAGAUGAAGCCCUUUUCUCCCAUUUGCCAUUUCUUUGCUUUCUCCAUAAAAAAAACAUUUCCAAAGCAGCAACUUCUUGGUGAAAUUCAUCUACUGACUUUGUACUGAGCCAGUACAAAUAAAUGGGGAGAAUUUUCUACUUAAUAUGUAAGAAGCAGGAAUCGGUAUUGCUGAGAUAGAUAGCAGAGCUUUGGAGUAACUCACUGAGUGUGGAGGAGAAUUUUUUUAGAUGUACUUCUGCAUUUAGGCCAUUGAACUACUGUUUUGUUUUUGUUUUCUUUGUGAGUCUACUAAUAAAAAAAGAUAUAUAACCUUACAUAUGGUGUAGGAAAUGGGAAAGAAGAAAGUGGCAGCUAAAACUAUCAGCCAGAGGUUUAUGGAUGUGGAUGGGGAACUGACAUUAAAGGCUAUUACAUGGUACAGUACUGUUAUUACUUACAAUUAUUGCUUUUUUGAUUGCUGUGUUUAAUGACGGUAACACGCUGCUUUGAAGUUGUAAGAAUAAUGCCACCAACCAGGGUUUGCUUGUGCUUUCAACAUUUGGCUAAGCACUUACUCAUAGAGCCUGCUCAUGUUAUGCUCAAGCAAGAGACACAAUUAAACUGGUCAGUUUAAAAUACGAACCACUUCCAGAAAGUUAUUCAUGUUUUAGUUUAUGCCUGUGUUUGUUGGAACUACUGAAGUAGGUGUGGCUAAAUUCAUGUAAAAAUGCAGUACCCAUUUGCAGUAUUGCAGAUGUUACAUACUAAUUGUAAUGUACAUAAAUCUCAAAAACACUGUCAUUGCAGUAAUACAGUUUAGAAGGUGAUAGAUAGAAAGUGGAAUGAGAGGAGAAAUAGUUUCCAAAAAUCCCUAGCUUUUUUUCUUAGUUGGGAUACCAGAUAGUCCCAAUGAGCACUAAAACACAGCUGGGGAAUGUACUUACCUAUGACCUCUCUGAGUCCUCCUAAGUACACUAACUGUAACAUAGGCUUUGAUUGUUUUACUUCAUUUUGAAAACACUCGGUCAAAAAAACACCAUUUGAAGGCUGUUCCCAUGCCUUUGGAGGAAAGUCUGGCAAUAAAGUCACUGGCAUCAACCAGUCCAUCAGUCAUUCUCAAAUCUUAUUUUAAUAUUUCGUUUUGCCUGGUUUGGGAAGUUCUGAUGAAGGUUCCACAACAAUGGCAACCUCAGAUCUUUGAUCUGUUAGAAAGCAGCGUGCAAAAUAACAUGAAAAUGUAUGAAGUGCUUAUUGCCAGCUAGCUGUACUGUUAGAGGACUCAGCACAUUUUGUUAAUGUACAGAAAGGCAAAAUUAAAAGACAGCAUUCCCUCCUUAUCAUAUGGCUUAGUUUGGAAGGCACCUUAAAGAUGCCUACCUUCCAAGCCCAUGUCAGCAACCUGACUCUGCUCUUUGCCAGGCCCACAUUCCCCAGGAUCACCAACUCAAUCAGGGCUUGGUCACCACGGCCCAGACUAUCACCAACCUUAAUUUCUUUAAAGAUCUCCUUGCAUUGGUGAGACCAAGUCCAGUAAUACUUCACUUCUGUUUGGUGUGUCCAAUACUUGAACCAGAAAGUUAUCAUCCAUGGACUCCAGGAGUCUCCUGGAUUGCUUGCAGCUCUGGAUGCUUUUGUUGGAAAAUCCCCACAUUUGCUGAUUUUUAUGAACAGUGAAAGAAUAGCUCUGGCAAUUACAGUCAGAAGUCUUCACACGGUGGUGAAAAGAGGAGUGGCUUUCAGGCUUGCUGUUCAGCUCUUGUCAGUCAUCAACCCAAUUUAAAGAGCAGCCUUGCCAUAAUUUGUUCAGUAACCACCAAAACCACAGCUCUAAGGACCAGAAAGCUCGGGGGGAGGAGCUCAUCAAAAUCACAAUGUUGUUGAAUUUGAAUUUCUUUAGAGUGGGUCACUGAUGAUUACAAAUUAUUUUGUAGAAACAGAUCAUUGAAAGAGAGCACUUAAAAACCAGUUCAUUUUAGAGGUUAAGAUGUGACUGGUUGUUUUAAUUUGAUUGGUAGUCUUCAGAGAGGCAACAUUUUAAUUUAAGGGUCAACUUGUUCUAAAAGGCUAACCAAUCAUGUAAUCUAGAUAAGUGUCAAUCUAAAUAGGAUAAAGAUAGUCAUGCAUAACUGAGUAUUCAAAGGCACCUUUGUCAGCUCACUGCUGGAUUUCAGGAUACUAAAGGAACACUCACUGAAGCAAAUAGUUUAAAAGAUCUAUCAUUAGUAUGGGUAGUGAAUUCUACUUUAUACUAAGAAAUUUUUACAUAACCAUCCCUAUGUGACGAGAAUUUGUAAAACAGAUUAGCAAAGUUUGAUUAUCUCUGCUUGAGAAAACUUGAAAUGUUCCAUGUUAAAUUUGGAAGUUUAAUUCUAUUAGCUUCUUACAUCUCUUUUGCUUCCUUCUCUACUAACGUCACUAAAUAAAGCAUAGCAGUUCAUGUACUUCCAUCUUUUAACUAAACACCAAGAAAGUUGGCAUGCCAGUGAAUAAUGUUUUAGAAGUUUUUUUUUUUCCUUCAUUCCAUUGUCAUUACAAAGUCUUUUUAGGUACCUUGCAAGUAAGUAUCUUACUGUAAUGUAAAUUUCUUUUUUUUUUUCUCCUUGUUAUUUUAGUCAGAAAACAAGAGUUUUCUU